UCUAGAUGAACUUUCCAAAAAGCUGAAGUAAAAUACUUACUGGUCUUGCUGCUGCAUUAGACAGGAAAGAUGUUGUGAGUGAUGUGAUGAAUAUAUACAUACUUUUAUUGUAACUUUAAAGGGAAUUCAAGUUUACUCCAAGUUCAGUGGCCGCUUUGACCUACUUACUCCCACGCAGAGAGGCCUGCAGGCAGACUUGGGGUCAAUAAGAAACCUUGAUUCAUUGGGACUGUUCUUGCCCUGCCUUCAGAAAGAGUUUCCCUUUCUAGAAAUAGAGCGGCUUGUGUGAGUGUCACUGGGAUAGGAGGGAGAAUGCCGGGUCACAAUGGGUCGGGGGACAGCGUGGGUGUAGAUUUGCUAUGAAGUUCGAGGUCCGUGCUGGAGGGCUGCGGUUAGAGCUGAGAAGUAAGCAGUGGCCCUCCCUUCGGUGCCGCACAGAGAUGUCCACCGACCUUCCCCUCCUGCGUGCCUGGAGCGCUAUCCUGGGCAGCCGCAGGACUGUGUGUCGCCCCCUCCCUCAGCGCUCACCCGGAGCGCCCGCGUCUCCUUCGCUUGCGGUUUCUGGUCGGCUCCCAGCUGGCCCAGACUUGCUCUAAAGUAGGAGGAACCGCUGUCGAGCGAAAAGUGCACACCGGCACCAACAAAGCAGGAAGGGCAGAGGAUUCAUCCAUCAGGCCUUGUGCUAUCCAUCCAGACUUUCUGAGAGAGAAAUCUACAAGAGCCAGCCCUUAAAAGUGUGGCUUAGUUUCUCAAAGAAGGACCAAAGUUUUGUCAAGAACACCCAGAUGAAGACCUUCCUAGACCUGUAAACUGGGAUUACCAAGUUCUUGACUUCACAAGGAAGUUUCAACCAAUUCUGACCUAAUACUCUACCGGAGAUCCACAACCUUCCUAAUCCCCACCCCCUCCUCGUCCCGCCCCCGCGCCUCAAAAACUAUGGAGAAAAAGAAGGUGUGCCCAAGGCUGGACCGAAGUCAUCCUGCCCCUUCUUCAAAAGAGAGACACCUCCCAAGGCCAACGCCCUCCGGAGGGGCCCAGGUGCUCCUCCCUUCUGGCAUCUAUUCCGUCUGGCAUCUAUUCCGUCUGGCAUCUAUUCCUCUGCAAAGGAUCAGAAAGGAAGCCGCUGGCUCAAUGGAUUCUGGAUUUCGGGUAGACCUGACUGCUUUGGGGCAUCCUCAAUCGGGCGGUGAAGCCUCUGGGGGCAGAGGAGCGUCGUGGGAGAGGAGCGUCGUGGGAGAAAGACAAGCUAGGCUGCUGCUUCCCUACCCAUGCCAACUUCCCGGGUCUCGUCUUGAAACAAGAGCAGAGGCCUGAGACCCGGGCGCCAUUGCUGGCCAGGCUCCCCUCCCCCACACUCCUUUCUUUGCUUCUCGAAGACCCGGGAGGGAGGAGGCGGCGAGCGCCUCGGUGGAUAGAGCUGCUAUUGUGACCUUCCCGGGCUAAGCGGGGAACCCAGCGGAGUGUGUACUGCCCGCGGUGGCGGGGGAGGAGGUGACUGUGUGCAAGCCUCGAGUGCAGAGGGGGUGGCACCCGGGAAUAAAUAAAGGCUUGCAACCUCGGGC
rnacentral:lncRNA from 1 species